rnacentral:rRNA from 1 species
GAUGAACGCUGGCGGCGUGCCUAAUACAUGCAAGUCGAGCGAACAGACGAGAUUUCUUUCACUCUCUGCCGUUAGCGGCGGACGGGAGAGUAACACGUCGGUAACCUACCUAUCAGCCUGGGAUAACUUCGGGCAACCGGACCUAAUCCCAUAUAAUAUUUGACUUCGCAUGACGCAAUAGUGAAAGACGCUUCUGCUGUCUCUUAUAGAUUGACCCGCGGUGGAUUAGCUAGUUGGUGGGGUAACGGCUCACCAAGGCAACGAUGCAUAGCCGACCUGAGAGGGUGAGCGGCCACACUGGGACUGAGACACGGCCCAGACUCCGACGGGAGGCAGCAGUAGGGAAUCUUCAGAAAGGGACGAAAGUCGGACGGAGCAAUGCCGCGGGAGUGAAGAAGGUGUUCGGAUCGUAAAACUCUGUUGUAAGGGAAGAACAAGAACGUUAGUAACUGAACGUACCUUGACGGUACCUGAACAGAAAGCCACGGCUAACUACGUG